AAUCAACGCUGGCGGCGUGCCUAACACAUGCAAGUCGAACGCGAGAGGGGCUUCGGCCCCGAUUGAGUGGCGAACGGGUGAGUAACACGUGGGUUGACCUACCUUCGAGUGGGGGAUAACGUCCCGAAAGGGACGCUAAUACCGCAUAACAUUCCGCUUUUGAACAAGUGGAAAUCAAAGCCGGGGAUCGUAAGACCUGGCGCUUGAAGAGGGGCCCGCGUCCGAUUAGCUAGUUGGUGAGGUAACGGCUCACCAAGGCGACGAUCGGUAGCCGGCCUGAGAGGGCGGACGGCCACACUGGGACUGAGACACGGCCCAGACUCUACGGGAGCAGCAGUGGGAAUUGUUCGCAAUGGGCNCAAGCCUGACGACGCAACGCCGCGUGGAGGA
rnacentral:rRNA from 1 species